UUUUGAGACUGUGUGGAGAAGAAUUGCCUUUUGGAACAUUGGCUGAGAAGGAAGGUUGACUGGAUGCCUUCUCUGCCUCUCUGAGCUAACAGACUUUCACCCCUGCAUCUAGAUCCGGAGUCUUCUUUGAUAAAAUGUAAGCUUAGCUACUGCUCCAGUGCCAUGCCUAUCUGCCUGUUUCCAUGCUUCCCACCAUGAUGGCCUGACCCUCUAAAGGGAGGUGAUCUGUCACUGGGGGGACUGGAGACUGUGGUGAAAAAGCCCUCGACUGGUCAAGCUUGUCCAGGAAAUCACCAGCUGAUGAUAUGCUGCACAAAGGCUGUUCCAGCAGGUCCUGUGGCACCCAGCAAGCUGGUGAGAGCCAGUCCAGUGAGCAGAGGGAUGAAGACCUCCCUUUACUUUUGUUCCCCUUCCAGGCUGCAAGGCAAGUUCUCCAGCUUCACAGAGAUAAACUUCACAGAGAGAUAAACUUGAUCAUUCACAGAGAAUGAUCUUUAUGGGGGUGC
ensembl:lncRNA